AUCGAAUGAAGUCGAACUCACCUUUUGAAAUUUGACCAGAAGUUCGACGAAACAAACGGACACUGAACAGAAAGGUGAAGCAGAGUUGAAUGCCAAGUAACGGAUCAGGUGCAUCCCAGGUAGACUCAACCUCUGAUGGCUUACCGAAGGAAGUUACUGCAACAAAUGGCUCCUUAAGCAAGGUCAGAUGAUGUCAGCGUGCAGGUUGUGCACCAGCCGAGCAACCGCCAUUGAGAU